GUUGCGCGCAGAGCCAGGCGGUGUGUCCCUUUAAAACACAGAGCAGAACAGCGCAAUUCGAUCCCUGCCUACGGGAGCGAGAACAAGACCCGCAAUGUAUGAGAGAAAAAGGACUGACUGAACGUCAACAACAAUACUGCUAGCUAACUGUUGGAUUGUAUGCGGUGUGUUCCUUUAUUCGCUCAAUUGUAAGAAAGAGGACCAUCACAAAGAGGACGAUUUGGAAUAUAGUAGGCUAGGCUACACUGCUCAGUCAGUAGGAUAUUCGCCCGGACAAGCUGGGAUAUUGGCUGGCGAGGAAAAACUCUCGGAGCCUGGAAGUUGAGGAACGCAGGACAACGAAACCACCGUCAACAGAUUUUUGAGGAAGGGGCCAACCAGGACACAGAAGUUCCUUCAAAACGUGUUUUCACUUAGGACUAAAAGAACCCGAGGGAUAAACCCGCCCCCUCCACCCCAUCCACCGCAAGAUGAUUGGCUCCCAGGGCCGAAGCUGAGCGCCAGUUGACGAGAGAAUUGUUGCUAGAUGCUGAUUUGAAAGGCAUCGUCGAGAGUAGGCAGACAGUCGAGCGCCUCGUCUCAGGGUUGGUGUGUGUGGCCCCUCGCUCCGCUGCGGUGGAGGGCUUCACAGACACUGUGGCUGGAUGCAUCACACAGCAGAGCACUUUGUCGGGCGAAGCACACGGGAUGCCUUCCCUCUGGAUGGCCUCAACCGGGAACCAUGGCAACCCGUGAGCAACCGCUCCUGGGCCCCACCGUCCAGGUGUGCUCCCGGCGUCAAUCAACACCAGUUCCACCCCCACGCCCCCCCCAGUCAUGUGACCACGCUGAACCAUCCCAGUAAAUUUUACCCCAAUGGGUAAGUGCAACACUUUUGUGUAGCUUUGUCUUUCACUCACACACACACACACACACACACACACACACACACACACACACACACACACACACUCUCUCACACACACACACUGUGUGUUAUAUGUGCUAACUGUUAAUUAUGUUCUAAAGUAAUUACAGUGCCGUCAGUGCCCUCCCUCGCGGAGGCGACAAGCUGGACUUGUCCCCGGUGGCGCUGUUGCCCGGGUUACAGCGUGACGUCCCCCCCGCCAGGGUCCCGCCGGCCCCCCCUCGCCCGUGGGAACAGCUGGGGCUCUACGAGCCAACGUCCGGCGACCACACCCGUCUCCAUGGUUACGGCGGGCCUGCCCCCGGACACCUUGCAGCUUGCGCUAACCAACUGCUGAAGUUUGGCAAUCCACACCAGCAACACGGCUCCAGAACGAUGGGACCUCUCGGAGACACAUGGGGUCAGGCGCAGCAGCAGCCCCGAGCCUUUGCUGGAGGUCAGCUGAAGCGGGCGGCCCCUCCUCUGGGGGAGCACUCUGUGAUCCAGCACGCGCCCCCCCCUCCACCACCCCUCCAGCGCCCUCUACUGGAAGACUGCCCCAACCCCAGCAAGAGGAAGAGGAGCUCACUCUCAGAGCAGCAGGGCUCUCACCCCGCUCUGCAGCGCUUCUCUGGGCCUGGGGGGCACGCGGCGCAGCCCCCACCCCCCUCGCAGUACA
ensembl:lncRNA